CGAUCGAGUGCACGAACUGGGAACAGAUUCAGCAGUGGAGAAGACCAAUGCGAUUUUUACCGCGGACGUAUCUCCCAAUUCUGGCUAUGAAAAGACCAAUAAUCUUUGCAUCAGCAAGGAAAGACUAACAGGCUUACUGAAAUGGCACUCCAAUGGGACAGGACAGGAGGGAGAAAGAGAUCCCUUCAGCUGGACAACAUCAAAGGAGAGGUGACAUUCAUCCAACAACAAGGUUCACAAAAUGCCCUAGUGCUCACUGGACAUGUCCCUGGAUUUAAACGUGAUGAUCUACAGCCCCUGCCUUCAGUUCACACUGCCACCAAGGUCAACCAAAGCUACAAAGAUGUUCUUCUUGGGACAGAGAAGAACUAUUGGACCAUCAAGCACCAACAAGAGUGGAGACUUGAAGAAAGCGACGCAUAUCUGAAUCUUACACUGACUCUGAGAGUGCCCAUAGACAGGUUGUGGGCGUGGAGAUGAACUUUUAAAUCUGUAAAUAUGUGGCAAGUACACAAGAGAAUACGUGAGUAAUGUGUGUGUGUGUGUGUGUGUGUGUGUGUG